UCGAACGCUGAAGCUUGGUGCUUGCACUGGGUGGAUGAGUGGCGAACGGGUGAGUAAUACGUGAGUAACCUGCCCUUGACUCUGGGAUAAGCCUGGGAAACUGGGUCUAAUACUGGAUAUGACAUGUCACCGCAUGGUGGUGUGUGGAAAGGGUUUUACUGGUUUUGGAUGGGCUCACGGCCUAUCAGCUUGUUGGUGGGGUAAUGGCUCACCAAGGCGACGACGGGUAGCCGGCCUGAGAGGGUGACCGGCCACACUGGGACUGAGACACGGCCCAGACUCCUACGGGAGGCAGCAGUGGGGAAUAUUGCACAAUGGGCGGAAGCCUGAUGCAGCGACGCCGCGUGAGGGAUGACGGCCUUCGGGUUGUAAACCUCUUUCAGCACGGAAGAAGCGAAAGUGACGGUACGUGCAGAAGAAGCGCCGGCUAACUACGUGCCAGCAGCCGCGGUAAUACGUAGGGCGCAAGCGUUGUCCGGAAUUAUUGGGCGUAAAGAGCUCGUAGGCGGUUUGUCGCGUCUGCUGUGAUAGCCCGGGGCUUAACCCCGGGUGUGCAGUGGGUACGGGCAGACUUGAGUGCAGUAGGGGAGACUGGAAUUCCUGGUGUAGCGGUGAAAUGCGCAGAUAUCAGGAGGAACACCGAUGGCGAAGGCAGGUCUCUGGGCUGUUACUGACGCUGAGGAGCGAAAGCAUGGGGAGCGAACAGG
rnacentral:rRNA from 1 species